rnacentral:rRNA from 1 species
UACGUAGGGUGCGAGCGUUAAUCGGAAUUACUGGGCGUAAAGCGUGCGCAGGCGGUUUGCUAAGACAGGUGUGAAAUCCCCGGGCUUAACCUGGGAACUUCGCUUGUGACUGGCAGGCUAGAGUACGGUAGAGGGGGUGGAAUUCCUGGUGUAGCAGUGAAAUGCGUAGAUAUCAGGAGGAACACCGAUGGCGAAGGCAGCCCCCUGGGCCUGUACUGACGCUCAUGCACGAAAGCGUGGGGAGCGAACAGGAUUAGAUACCCUGGUA